rnacentral:rRNA from 1 species
UGGGGAAUAUUGCACAAUGGGGGAAACCCUGAUGCAGCAACGCCGCGUGAAGGAUGAAGGUCUUCGGAUUGUAAACUUCUUUAGUCGGGGACGAAAUAAUGACGGUACCCGAAGAAUAAGCCACGGCUAACUACGUGCCAGCAGCCGCGGUAAUACGUAGGUGGCAAGCGUUGUCCGGAAUUACUGGGUGUAAAGGGCGUGUAGGCGGGUGUAUAAGUCAGAUGUGAAAUCCUGGGGCUCAACCCCAGAGCUGCAUCUGAAACUGUACAUCUUGAGUGCUGGAGAGGAAAGCGGAAUUCCUAGUGUAGCGGUGAAAUGCGUAGAUAUUAGGAGGAACACCAGUGGCGAAGGCGGCUUUCUGGACAGUAACUGACGCUGAGGCGCGAAAGCGUGGGGAGCA